rnacentral:rRNA from 1 species
AUCGAACGCUGGCGGCAGGCCUAACACAUGCAAGUCGAGCGGGGUUUUCGGACCUAGCGGCGGACGGGUGAGUAAUGCGUAGGAAGCUACCCGAUAGAGGGGGAUACCAGUUGGAAACGACUGUUAAUACCGCAUAAUGUCUACGGACCAAAGUGUGGGACCUUCGGGCCACAUGCUAUCGGAUGCGCCUACGUGGGAUUAGCUAGUUGGUGAGGUAAUGGCUCACCAAGGCGACGAUCCCUAGCUGGUUUGAGAGGAUGAUCAGCCACACUGGAACUGAGACACGGUCCAGACUCCUACGGGAGGCAGCAGUGGGGAAUAUUGGACAAUGGGCGCAAGCCUGAUCCAGCCAUGCCGCGUGUGUGAAGAAGGCCUUCGGGUUGUAAAGCACUUUCAGUAGGGAGGAAGCGUUGUGUGUUAAUAGUACACAGCGUUGACGUUACCUACAGAAGAAGCACCGGCUAACUCUGUGCCAGCCGCCGCAGUAAAAC